AUCCAUAUCACAUUAUCAGUGCUCCAUCUAUAGGCCUAACAAAGGGGUGUUGAUAGACUUUUGAUUGGCUGAGCCACCAUCUAUUUGAAAACAAGCGACUUUGAUUGGCUGGAGACAGGAAGUUAUGUUUUGAAAACAAAGGGGUUUUUCAUCAACUGACUUUGAGCUUUAAGGUAUAAUUGAGUAACAUUAAGACUUAUAAUUCUACGUUAAAAUGUCUUGAAUAACUUUCAGCAUGAAGUAUUGUGUGGUGAAAACAAUGUGUAUUUACUACAAUGUGAAAAUCAACAAUAAGUUUGUUGCAAAGGAGAUUCAAAGUGGAUGGUUAAAGUGAUAUGGUCUCAUAAUUCAUCAACUGCCUGUUAUCUUGGAAUACUGGAGAACAGUUGUUUUAGGUUUGUAUUUUCAUUUUUACAUCACUUUUUUAUUUAGUUUUAUAUUGAAUUAAUUAUGAUCAUUAUCAUAUUUAUGUAUUGUCACUGGGAAAUGUAAAUGGAUAAGUAUAAAUGUAAUGCAAUUAUAAGGAAAAACAACACCAUUUGAAUAAUUAUGGUUGUAUUUUAUGAUUAUUGUCAUCUUAAAUGUUAUUUAUACCUAUUUCUGGUCAUUAGUGAACAGAUUUCUUUCCCACAUAUUCAAUGAAAACUUUUAUAUUUUAAAUUUGAAGGUUAAACUCCCAAGGUGAAAUUUACAUUGAUUGGAAGAUUCUUUGGAUAGAAUAUUCCUGCCAAAAGACAGCAGAAGGGGGACUAACUGAUGUAUGGAUUUUGACACCAGAUUUUACCCUGCACGAGCAGGCCAACUUGAGAAGAUCAGGAGUGGGAAAACCGAGCCCUGUCCUUGACCAAGAAAAGUUGGAUUUGUUGAGAGGACCUGAUCUCAAAUGAGAUCAUGCACAAGACGCACCUCAGAAAGGCCAUGACAGUAUAGUUUUCAGACCUGAUUAGCUGGUGACAGCUCUAUGAAGUGUUGUUCAACCUACCCUAAGGGGGAGAUUCGAGAAGGUCUCCUGAUUGCUGAACACUACGCCAUGAUGUCAUCUCCAAAAAGCUUUUCCUGCCCAUAUCAACAGUGGAAGAGAACAUGAGAUGGGCCUUGAGGAGGCUUCGUGUCAUGUACUGCGGGGAGAAUAUAUAAACUGUGUAGUGCUGAGCAAUAUGUUCCUUUGUUCAUAGGUGUAAAUAUGUGUAAAGGGCUAUUCCAGGAAAAGAUAGGAUGAAGGAUUCCUUAAUGGCGUCAUUUUAUAAAUCCGGUACCACCAAUACAGUUAAAAACAAUUAUUAUUUAUUUUAUCCUCUGUAUCACCCCUCACUAACUGAAACUGUAUAUAUCAUGGUUCAUACCCUUCCUCCCAUUUUUACCUGUGGUAGCCCUAAGAGGAGAAUGUUAUUUAUUUUAAUUUAUUAUGUUAAAUGUGCUCGCAUAUUGUAAUAAUGUAUCUUGGGUAGAUGUUUUCCUGGUUUUGUUAAAA